GAUGAAGAACGUAGUGAAAUGCGAUAAGUAAUGUGAAUUGCAGAAUUCAGUGAAUCAUCGAAUCUUUGAACGCAUCUUGCACCCUUUGGCAUUCUGAAGGGUAUGCUCGUUUGAGUGUCAUUGUACUCUCACACUCCCGAUCUUUGCAUUGGGAGCAGUGGACUUGGGUUUGCUGCUUCACCGUCGCUUACCUCAAAUAGGUUAGUGCAACUCUUGGUUGGACAUAGUACGGCGUGAUAAGUGUUCUUCGCCGGUGCCUCGCAAAGAGGGUGGCCGAUCGGGAUGUUGUGCUCCAAACCGUCUUCGGACAAUCUCUGACGACUUGACCUCAAAUCGAGUAAGACUACCCGCUGAACUUAAGCAUAUCAAUAAGCGGAGGA
rnacentral:misc_RNA from 1 species